UGACAAAUAAACAGACUUAUCUGGCAUAUCACCAUCUAACAGGGGAAACUGGAGAGACGAGGACAAAUUUGGUAUUGUGGUGGUCUGCAAAGGAGGACCCGUUCACUCCCAAAGGUUGUCAGCUGCUGUGCUGGAGCAAGCUCUGACUCACUCCAUUGCUUGAGUAGAAUGUGAAUCAGUAAGGACAUGUUCUACAGCUCGAAAUCUGUCUGGAUGGUCACUUAGUGGUUUCACAUGGACACUUUUUGGGUAUUGAAAGGAAAGGCUAUCAUUCUGAUGCGCGGCAGAAUUGUACUGAAAGGCAGACUGAAUUGUACAAUAGUUAACUGACCUAUUUAAAGUUGUGCGGUAUCUUCAGUGGUACAUCUGAAACUAGAUCUCUGUUCAUCUCACCCUGAUGUCUGCAUGGGGACCAAUGAAAUGACUUUCCUUUUUUACAAAAAGUACGUUGGCUUCACACAGUUACAUCUUAGAUAGGAACAUAUAAAGGG
rnacentral:lncRNA from 1 species